rnacentral:rRNA from 1 species
CAGUCGCCACGGGAAUACGAAGGGUGCAAGCGUUACUCGGAAUUACUGGGCGUAAAGCGUGCGUAGGUGGUGGUUUAAGUCCGUUGUGAAAGCCCUGGGCUCAACCUGGGAAUUGCAGUGGAUACUGGGUCACUAGAGUGUGGUAGAGGAUAGUGGAAUUUCCGGUGUAGCAGUGAAAUGCGUAGAGAUCGGAAGGAACAUCAGUGGCGAAGGCGACCACCUGGACUGAUACUGACACUGAGGUGCGAAAGCGUGGGGAGCAAACAGGAUUAGAGACCCCCGUAGUCCCUGUCUCUUAUAC